rnacentral:rRNA from 1 species
UGUAAGCGUAUACCAAAGUUGUUGCAGUUAAAACGCUCGUAGUCGGAAUUUGGCAGUUCCGGAUGUGUGCACGUCGUGUGCGCACUUCGCGGGGAUUGCUUUUGUGGUCUUGCGUAGGAUGAGGCACUUUUAUUAGUGAACGUCCUCACGCAACCACUUUUUACUGUGAGAAAAUCAGAGUGCUCAAAGCAGGCAUUUGCCGUGAAUGUAUUAGCAUGGAAUUAUAGAAUAGGACUUGGUUCUAUUUUGUUGGUUUGUUGGGACUGAGUAAUGAUUAAGAGGGACAGUUGGGGGCAUUUGUAUUUCGGUGCUAGAGGUGAAAUUCUUAGAUUACCGAAAGACAAACUGCUGCGAAAGCGUCUGCCAAGGAUGUUUUCAUUGA